rnacentral:lncRNA from 1 species
GACAAGGCUCACACCUGCUUAGCUUCAGUGGGUUGCCAGUUGUGAGUUGCAGGGUGGUAUGGUUGCUGGCAAUUAGAUGGGAACCUAAGGGAAUUGUUUUAGCUAAUUCAUUUUGACUUCCCCUGAUAUUAAUAAUGUUGACUUAAUUCUUCAUAUAUAUUUUGAAAAGGAAAAUUCCCUCAGUCUUUUACAUCUGAAGAUGUCUGGGGACAGAUCUCAAAUGGCUUCAGUUGGAACAUCCACCAAGAAACCCGACAGGAUUCCCCUGGUGUGCAAGAUGUGCCUGAGGACAUUUGACCAGCUUCCUGCUCAUUUGAAGAGGGCGUGUAUGAAGCAAGCCACACCAGAGGAGAUCAGGAUGACCUCUCGCCAGGCCAGGAAGGACUUGAUGAAUCAUCUGAGGAAUGGGCAUGUUGUGGAUUACGAGAGCAUAGAGCUAUUGUUUGACAAGGCAAAUAGGAACCUAGCUGUGAGACUGGUGGAGUCCAUGGGCUGUUUUGUACGUAGGAAACCUGAAGACAAACCAGCAAGGUGAGAGAUUAAAUUGUGACAUUUCUU